rnacentral:rRNA from 1 species
UACGGGGGGGGUAAGCGUUGUUCGGAAUUACUGGGCGUAAAGGGCUCGUAGGCGGCCAACUAAGUCCGACGUGAAAUCCCCAGGCUUAACCUGGGAACUGCGUCGGAUACUGGAUGGCUUGAAUUCGGGAGAGGGAUGCAGAAUUCCAGGUGUAGCGGUGAAAUGCGUAGAUAUCGAGAGGAACACCUGCGGCGAAGGCGGGUUGCUGGGCUGACACUGACGCUGAUGCGCGAAAGCCAGGGGAGCGAACGGG